UUUACUUCUCGAGGAAACUUUGUUGAAGUCUUUUUCAAUCUAUCAGUGUGAUUAGCGUGAGAGGGUACUUUCAAAAAUGUUUACCAAUAUAAAAUAUCUUGUUAAUAUUAAAAUACGUAUAAUUAUUAAUUUUUAGUAAUUAACUUAUUUACCAAUUCCUUGAAAACUUGGCAAGAAAUGUUCAAAGUUGACACUGUCAAUCGCCUUUACUAAGCUAAUAAAAAUUUAAGAAGCGGAGUCAUAAUUAUCAGCAUCAGUAUGGUAUUCUAGCCAAUUAACACUAGUGUGGUGUUAAAUGUAACUGUACAGGGUGAGUCAACGAAAGAGUAAAAGUAUAUUUUUUUGAACAACCUAUUUUUAAAUUUUUCUAAGUUUUCACAAUUGCAAAAAAAUUACCAUAGCCCCAUUAUUUAAUUCUAGCGUUAUCCGAAUAUGCAACAGAAUUUGGAUUAGAUGCUACAGGGCGUUGAAAGUAAACGAAUAUUGGUUUCUCUUAAAUGGCACAAAAAUCUGCAACUUUUAUUAAGUUUGUAACACACCUAUGUUAAAUUCUUCCUAUUUAUUUUAACUUUUCCAAUAGUCACCCUUCUUUCUGUCUAAAAUGCAUCACUUUCAACCAAGUAUAGUGAAUUCGGAAGACAGACAUUUACGUUUGCUUCCACUUUUUCAGUUCGAUUUUUUUUUUAUCAAAUUUGAUGUUCUCGUUUGCCUACACUUAUUGGGCCAUAUUAUCGCACUCAUCGUCUGAUCCAACACGUGUAAAUGUCAACGGUCCGACCACCCUCACCCUAAACGUAUAUCGGAAAACAUAUUCUCAUUCCACUAAACACAUGCGGCGUUUGAAAUAUAGGCCUUUGCUCGCUUAAAACGAGCGGGAAUCAUAAAUAUAUCCCAUGGUGGCCUCACGCGUUUUAUCCUGGACGUACGAAUUCAAUCCUAUCUCGUCGAUAAGGACGAGUUGGGGCUAAAUGGCCUGGACAUGACGUUGCACAGUCCAUUCAUCAUUUGACGACCGUGGACCAAGUCGAGUUGAAAGGACAGAUAGUGGUAGCCUAAUAUUAUUUCCGCGGAUUAUGAAUAAAUGGAGCAAAGGUUUUAGGAAUGAAAACUAAGCAAGAAAAAACUCUACGCUAAACUUGUAACAUCAUUGCAGCAGCGGAAUCCAAUGAUGCUUUAAACCAGAACAAAAAACACUCUUGAGAAUUAAUGAAGAUUCAAGAUAUAUCUACAGCCAGAAGAUGACGAAUUUUUUACUAAUUAUUCUGAUACUAUUUCGAUUGAUAUCGCCAUGCACCGUGCACUCCUCAUUUGACAAUUGCUUUUAGAACUAGUCACUUUUAAGGCACUAGGCACUUUUUAAGGCGCUUCUUGUCCCAUUACUUUAUUUGACAUUGUUCAGUUAAUUUAAAUACAAAAUACGACUAAUUUAGGUGAUUUUUAAAAUGCAAUUGUUUAGAGGAUUAUUGAUAAAUAUUGGUACAAAAUACAACUAUU